AACAAGGACCUAGCGUCUGUGCUAUGACCUCGGGGCAUGUUUGUUCGGUACCAGGGUGUACCAACAAGCAUGCACCCAUGUUCAGGUUUCCCAACCCUAAGAGAGGGUUGGACAUCUGUUUGAGAUGGAGGCAGGCCGUCAAUAAUCCAAAGUGGCCUGAAUUGUCGGACUGUCGUCUCAACAGAAUUGCGCGUGUUUGUUAUAAACAUUUUAUAGACGACGAUUUCCUGUCCGGGACCAGACGUUUAACCCGUUUUGCUGUUCCUUCCCUCAACUUACCAACAGGUCGUCGGGACAGUACACCAAGUCCAAGACCGUUGGAGUUGGGGCAGUCAUCUCCAUCCGAGGUGUCACUUCAACCCAAGUUUGUUACUCCCACAAAAGAGUUUCCUUUUUGGCUAGGAGCAGUGGGAGUGACACCCAGGAAGAGAGAGACACCUAUGAAAGGAAAUGUACCUGCAAAACGUGAGAUUUUCGUUGAAGAAAAAUAAAAUUUUAUUA